rnacentral:lncRNA from 1 species
GAUGCCCACAUAGUUACAGGCGCUGCCCAGAUGGAGCAGGGAGGAAGGUGCAGAUGGGAAGCUCCCAGGGAGAAGGAAGAGGCAGUGCAGCCCAUGCUGAGAAACAACUGCAUAAAGGCAGCAUUUGGCCAGUGGGUUAAGCAAGAUGCCAAAGUCCUGGAUAUUUGUUUCUCUUCCUGACUGCAUCCUGCUUUGCUUUCCUCUAUGUCAGGAUCUGGUGGGUCUGUAAAGGCAGGAAAGGAACAGUGACUCAUAAAGGACACCCAUAAGAGCUAGUGUUCAUCCACCUCCUUCCUCCUGGGAGCUGCUGGGAAAUGGAAGGUGAAAGUCCCCUUUGGACUUGCGGAUCCUCAGCACAGCGUGGGCAAUGCUGUUGGAUAUCCUGAGGCACUGCUCCGCUCUUGCUCCUCAAUAAUCAGGCCAGCAAAGUGAGGAGGAACAAAGGGGCUGGCAGGGAUGUGGGCUAGAAAUCCAACUGCUGCAGCAUGAGGCCUCCCAAUGCUGGGGGAGGCUGGGAUCCUGUUGCUGAACUAUUUAUUUAAGGAAAAAAAAUAUUAUCAUUUCAGGCAUUGGCAGCUUUGGGUAUAUCAGCCAUUGUAUCAAAGAUGUGGUUUUAAUGCACUUUCCUCCACUUAAAUGUUAUUUGCCUUCUCCUUCAGGCAAUUGAAUUUAAGAAAACUCUGGUUGCCCAGGUUUUGUUGAACAAAUGUGUCCCUCUACGCACAAUUCCCAGGAGGAGCCAACUCUGCAGAAACUCUGGGAGCUGUCACUUUGGUGCAUCACUGGGAUGGGCUGAAUGGAUUACCCAGCUCUGCGUUGUCUGCUAUUUUAUCUGCCUCAAAGCAGUGGGAAGCCAGGAAUAAACCCCCGAGGUUCCUUUGAGCGCUGCGAUUUCUGGAGCCCAGGCAUUUUUAGCUCAGCCUUCAGGAGAAACUUGGUCAUUGGAGGAGGAUGCUGUAGUUGUUGGAAAAUUCAUCUGGGAUGACUCUGGCCACUGAUUUCCUGUGUGAUCUUGGUCAAGUCACCUAACGCCUAAAGGUAAGAGGCCCUUUACUCUGUUUUUUGUGGUUUAUUAGUCAUUUGAAAAUAAAGCUUUGGUCACUCUUCCU